rnacentral:rRNA from 1 species
CCAGACUCCUACGGGAGGCAGCAGUGAGGAAUAUUGGUCAAUGGGCGAGAGCCUGAACCAGCCAAGUCGCGCGAAGGACGACGGUUCUAUGGAUUGUAAACUUCUUUUGUAGAGGAAUAAUGGCAGCUACGCGUAGCUGAGAUGCAUGUACUCUACGAAUAAGUAUCGGCUAACUCCGUGCCAGCAGCCGCGGUAAUACGGAGGAUACGAGCGUUAUCCGGAAUUAUUGGGUUUAAAGGGUGCGUAGGUGGCGUAUUAAGUCAGUGGUGAAAAGCUGCAGCUCAACUGUAGUCUUGCCGUUGAAACUGAUAUGCUAGAGAGGAGACGAGGUAUGCGGAAUGUGUGGUGUAGCGGUGAAAUGCAUAGAUAUCACACAGAACGCCGAUUGCGAAGGCAGCGUACCAGGCUCCGUCUGACACUGAAGCACGAAAGCGUGGGGAUCAAACAGGAUUAGAUACCCUGGUAGUCCACGCAGUAAACGAUGAAUACUAGAUUUUUGCGAUAUAGUGUAAGAGUCUAAGCGAAAGCGAUAAGUAUUCCACCUGGGGAGUACGCCGGCAACGGUGAAACUCAAAGGAAUUGACGGGGGCCCGCACAAG